UACGAAGGGGGCUAGCGUUGUUCGGAUUCAUUGGGCGUAAAGGGUGCGUAGGCGGCGCGGUAAGUCGGGUGUGAAAUCUCGGAGCUUAACUCCGAAACUGCAUUCGAUACUGCCGUGCUUGAGGACUGGAGAGGAGACUGGAAUUUACGGUGUAGCGGUGAAAUGCGUAGAUAUCGUAAGGAAGACCAGUGGCGAAGGCGGCUCACUGGACCGGUAUUGACGCUGAGGUGCGAAAGCGUGGGGAGCAAACAGG
rnacentral:rRNA from 1 species